rnacentral:rRNA from 1 species
AUACGUAGGUGGCGAGCGUUGUCCGGAAUUACUGGGCGUAAAGGGUGCGUAGGCGGGUAUUUAAGUCAGAUGUGAAAUUCCGGGGCUUAACUUCGGAACUGCAUUUGAAACUAAGUAUCUGGAGUGCAGGAGAGGAGAGCGGAAUUCCUAGUGUAGCGGUGAAAUGCGUAGAUAUUAGGAAGAACACCAGUGGCGAAGGCGGCUCUCUGGACUGUAACUGACGCUGAGGCACGAAAGCGUGGGGAGCAAACAGGAUUAGAUACCCUGGUAGUCCACGCUGUAAACGAUGAGUGCUAGGUGUAGGGGGUGAUUAACCUUCUGUGCCGCAGUAAACGCAAUAAGCACUCCGCCUGGGGAGUACGGUCGCAAGACUAAA